AUGUCUCUCAACCUCCCCGGUGAAAGGAAAGGUGUAAACAAGUAUUACCCUCCGGAUUUCAAUCCCGAAAAGCAUGGCUCUCUCAACCGAUACCACAACAGCCACCCGCUACGGGAGCGGGCUCGGAAGCUGUCCCAAGGCAUCCUCAUUAUCAGGUUUGAGAUGCCCUAUAACAUCUGGUGCGACGGCUGCAAGAACCACAUCGGCAUGGGUGUUCGUUACAAUGCAGAAAAGAAGAAGGUUGGCAAUUAUUACACAACGCCCAUCUACAGGUUCCGGAUGAAAUGCCACCUGUGCGUCAACUACAUCGAGAUGCAGACGGACCCCGCCAACUGCGACUACGUGAUUGUGAGUGGCGCCCAGCGCAAGGAGGAGCGCUGGGACAUGGAGGACAACGAGCAGGUGCUGACGACAGAGCAUGAGAAGAAGCAGAAGCUGGAGACGGACGCCAUGUUUCGCCUGGAGCACGGCGAGGCCGACCGGAGCACGCUCAAGAAGGCCCUCCCCACCCUGAGCCACAUCCAGGAGGCCCAGAGCGCCUGGAAGGAUGACUUCGCUCUCAACAGCAUGCUGCGGAAAAGGUUCCGGGAGAAGAAAAAAGCCAUGCAGGAGGAGGAGGAGAGGGACCAGGCGUUGCAGACGGAGGACGACCGCAAGCUGGCCGCCCUGCUCAAGUUCCACACCCUGGACUCCUACGAGGACAAGCAGAAACUCAAGCGGACGGAGAUCAUCAGCCGCCCCUGGUUCUCCUCCACCCCGGGGACCCCGCACCGGCAAACCGCAGAUGCGACCCGUCGGCUCCCCCAUCACCGUAGAGACCUGGGCAUCGUGCGGCGGCGGUCCCGAGAGGCCUUGGAGAACCUCCGGCUCGCCGCGGAGACCCCCAAGCCUGGGGAGCCAUGGGUGCCAGAGGGGAACACCCAGGACAGGCCCGCAUCCCCCCCAGACGGCUCUCCGGAGACAGCCGAGACCCCCAGGAGCAGGGGACCUCCGGGGCAGGCGGGGAAACGUCAGGACAGACCCCGGUCCCCACCAGGCCCCUCUCAGGAGGCAGCCGCCUCCCAGGACACACCACACCCGGGCACCCUCAGCUCCUCCUGGUGGCCGAUUACUCGACUCAGAGAGUGA
rnacentral:lncRNA from 1 species